CCUACGGGAGGCAGCAGUGAGGAAUAUUGGUCAAUGGACGAGAGUCUGAACCAGCCAAGUAGCGUGAAGGAUGACUGCCCUAUGGGUUGUAAACUUCUUUUAUAUGGGAAUAAAACAGGGUAUGCAUACCCUCUUGUAUGUACCAUAUGAAUAAGGAUCGGCGAACGCCGUGACAGCAGCCGCGGUAAUACGGAGGAUCCGAGCGUUAUCCGGAUUUAUUGGUUUUAAGGGGGGCGUAGGUGGAUGGUUAAGUCAGUUGUGAAAGUUUGCGGCUCAACCGUAAAAGUGCAGUUGAAACUGGCAGGCUUGAGUACAGUAGAGGUGGGCGGAAUGCGUGGUGUAGCGGUGAAAUGCUUAGAUAUCACGAAGAACUCCGAUUGCGAAGGCAGCUCACUGGACUGCAACUGACACUGAUGCUCGAAAGUGUGGGUAUCAAACAGGAUUAGAUACCCGUGUAGUC
rnacentral:rRNA from 1 species